GCUUAAAUAGCUUAUAAAGAGUUUAAUAUUGAAGAUAUUAAGGAGAUAGUUUUAUCUUUAAGCA
rnacentral:tRNA from 1 species